rnacentral:rRNA from 1 species
GACCGCUGGUGUGAAACCAGAGGAAGGGGAGGGCAACGACAGGUCAGUAUGCCCCGAAUGUCUUGGGCUACACGCGCGCUACAAAGGGCAGGACAAUGGGAUGCUAGGCCGAGAGGCAUUCAAGCUAACCCGAAACCUGUUCAUAGUUCGGAUUGAGGGCUGUAACUCGCCCUCAUGAAGCUGGAUUCCGUAGUAAUCGUGUUUCAAUAUAGCACGGUGAAUAUGCCCCUGCUCCUUGCACACACCGCCCGUCAAACCA